ensembl:misc_RNA
AAUUAUCCCAGAGAAUUGUUUAUAUUAAAAACAGGCUGAGAAUAGUUUGACCUCUGAUCACCAAAAAACCUGGAGGAUAAACAUUCAUCUGUCAAGAUUUCUCUGGAAAAUCCCUG